CCUACGGGGUGCAGCAGUGAGGAAUAUUGGUCAAUGGGCGCGAGCCUGAACCAGCCAAGUAGCGUGAAGGAUGACUGCCCUAUGGGUUGUAAACUUCUUUUAUAAAGGAAUAAAGUGAGGCACGGGUGCCUUUUUGUAUGUACUUUAUGAAUAAGGAUCGGCUAACUCCGUGCCAGCAGCCGCGGUAAUACGGAGGAUCCGAGCGUUAUCCGGAUUUAUUGGGUUUAAAGGGAGCGUAGGUGGGUUGUUAAGUCAGUUGUGAAAGUUUGCGGCUCAACCGUAAAAUUGCAGUUGAUACUGGCAGCCGUGAGUACAGUAGAGGUAGGCGGAAUUCGUGGUGUAGCGGUGAAAUGCUUAGAUAUCACGAAGAACUCCGAUUGCGAAGGCAGCUUACUAAACUGCCACUGACACUGAUGCCCGAAAGUGUGGGUAUCAAACAGGAUUAGAUACCCCAGUAGUC
rnacentral:rRNA from 1 species